GACGAACGCUGGCGGCGCGCCUAACACAUGCAAGUCGAACGAGAGAUGAGGAGCUUGCUCUUCAAAUCGAGUGGCGAACGGGUGAGUAACGCGUGAGGAACCUGCCUCAAAGAGGGGGACAACAGUUGGAAACGACUGCUAAUACCGCAUAAGCCCACGGCUCGGCAUCGAGCAGAGGGAAAAGGAGCAAUCCGCUUUGAGAUGGCCUCGCGUCCGAUUAGCUAGUUGGUGAGGUAAUGGCCCACCAAGGCGACGAUCGGUAGCCGGACUGAGAGGUUGAACGGCCACAUUGGGACUGAGACACGGCCCAGACUCCUACGGGAGGCAGCAGUGGGGAAUAUUGCACAAUGGGGGAAACCCUGAUGCAGCGACGCCGCGUGGAGGAAGAAGGUCUUCGGAUUGUAAACUCCUGUUGUUGAGGAAGAUAAUGACGGUACUCAACAAGGAAGUGACGGCUAACUACGUGCCAGCAGCCGCGGUAAAACGUAGGUCACAAGCGUUGUCCGGAAUUACUGGGUGUAAAGGGAGCGCAGGCGGGAGAACAAGUUGGAAGUGAAAUCCAUGGGCUCAACCCAUGAACUGCUUUCAAAACUGUUUUUCUUGAGUAGUGCAGAGGUAGGCGGAAUUCCCGGUGUAGCGGUGGAAUGCGUAGAUAUCGGGAGGAACACCAGUGGCGAAGGCGGCCUACUGGGCACCAACUGACGCUGAGGCUCGAAAGUGUGGGUAGCAAACAGGAUUAGAUACCCUGGUAGUCCACACCGUAAACGAUGAUUACUAGGUGUUGGAGGAUUGACCCCUUCAGUGCCGCAGUUAACACAAUAAGUAAUCCACCUGGGGAGUACGACCGCAAGGUUGAAACUCAAAGGAAUUGACGGGGGCCCGCACAAGCAGUGGAGUAUGUGGUUUAAUUCGACGCAACGCGAAGAACCUUACCAAGUCUUGACAUCCCUUGACGAUGCUGGAAACAGUAUUUCUCUUCGGAGCAAGGAGACAGGUGGUGCAUGGUUGUCGUCAGCUCGUGUCGUGAGAUGUUGGGUUAAGUCCCGCAACGAGCGCAACCCUUAUGGUCAGUUACUACGCAAGAGGACUCUGGCCAGACUGCCGUUGACAAAACGGAGGAAGGUGGGGAUGACGUCAAAUCAUCAUGCCCUUUAUGACUUGGGCUACACACGUACUACAAUGGCGUUAAACAAAGAGAAGCAAGACCGCGAGGUGGAGCAAAACUCAGAAACAACGUCCCAGUUCGGACUGCAGGCUGCAACUCGCCUGCACGAAGUCGGAAUUGCUAGUAAUCGUGGAUCAGCAUGCCACGGUGAAUACGUUCCCGGGCCUUGCACA
rnacentral:rRNA from 1 species